CAGUUGGAAACGACUGCUAAUACCGCAUAAUGACUCCGGUCCAAAGAUUUAUCGCCCAAGGAUCAGCCCGCGUUUGAUUAGAUUGUUGGUGGGGUAACGGCCUACCAAGUCGACGAUCAAUAGCUGGUCUGAGAGGAUGAUCAGCCACACUGGUACUGAGACACGGACCAGACUCCUACGGGAGGCAGCAGUAAGGGAUAUUGCGCAAUGGAGGAAACUCUGACGCAGCCAUGCCGCGUGAGUGAAGAAGGCCCUCGGGUUGUAAAACUCUUUCAGUAGUGAAGAUAAUGACGGUAACUACAGAAGAAG
rnacentral:rRNA from 1 species